UACGUAGGUGGCAAGCGUUGUCCGGAAUUAUUGGGCGUAAAGCGCGCGCAGGCGGCCUCUUAAGUCUGAUGUGAAAGCCCCCGGCUCAACCGGGGGAGGGCCAUUGGAAACUGGGAGGCUUGAGUAUAGGAGAGAAGAGUGGAAUUCCACGUGUAGCAGUGAAAUGCGUAGAGAUGUGGAGGAACACCAGUGGCGAAGGCGACUCUUUGGCCUAUAACUGACGCUGAGGCGCGAAAGCGUGGGGGAGCAAACAGG
rnacentral:rRNA from 1 species